rnacentral:rRNA from 1 species
GAUGAACGCUGGCGGCGUGCCUAAUACAUGCAAGUCGAGCGAACAGACGAGGAGCUUGCUCCUCUGACGUUAGCGGCGGACGGGUGAGUAACACGUGGAUAACCUACCUAUAAGACUGGGAUAACUUCGGGAAACCGGAGCUAAUACCGGAUAAUAUAUUGAACCGCAUGGUUCAAUAGUGAAAGACGGUUUUGCUGUCACUUAUAGAUGGAUCCGCGCCGCAUUAGCUAGUUGGUAAGGUAACGGCUUACCAAGGCGACGAUGCGUAGCCGACCUGAGAGGGUGAUCGGCCACACUGGAACUGAGACACGGUCCAGACUCCUACGGGAGGCAGCAGUAGGGAAUCUUCCGCAAUGGGCGAAAGCCUGACGGAGCAACGCCGCGUGAGUGAUGAAGGUCUUCGGAUCGUAAAACUCUGUUAUCAGGGAAGAACAAAUGUGUAAGUAACUAUGCACGUCUUGACGGUACCUAAUCAGAAAGCCACGGCUAACUACGUG